GAGGCGAGACCGCUGGAGGCUUCGAUGGCGCGCUCCAACGCACUGUCGAGGUUGGUGCCGACUUCCAUUCCCUGGGUG
rnacentral:misc_RNA from 1 species